GGGGCCUUCUUUCAGGAAGCAGAGCAACGUGAGCGCAUGGUGUGAGCAAAGGGCAAUGGAUACAGGGACAUUCUAUGGGUGGAAGGAGCCGAAUCGGGCAGUUACCCUCUGAUAGUGAGGACAGUGAACUUGAGGACAGUGACAGCUAGGAAGAAUGGACCCAAUAAUCAGGAUGUUGAAUGUAUUCGUCCUCUCUAAGGCCAGGAGAUCUUCCAGAAGUUUUUUUGACCAUAUGACCAUAUGACCUGAUAAGAAAAAUAAUCUGGUCCUGUCGUAGGCCAUAGCAGGGACAGGGAAGAUGGUUAAAAUUGAUGGGAAGAUGGAUGGAGCCAAAUACAGGGCCAUUCUGGAAGAAAACCUGAUGGAGUCUGCAAAAGACCUGAGACUGGGACGGAGAUUUGUCU